rnacentral:rRNA from 8 species
UCGAAGGUGGGACAAAUGAUUGGGGUGAAGUCGUAACAAGGUAGCCGUAUCGGAAGGUGCGGCUGGAUCACCUCCUUUCUAAGGA